rnacentral:rRNA from 1 species
CUACGGGCGGCUGCAGCGGGGAAUAUUGCACAAUGGGCGCAAGCCUGAUGCAGCAACGCCGCGUGAGGGAUGAAGGCCUUCGGGUUGUAAACCUCUUUUAGCAGGGAAGAAGCGAAAGUGACGGUACCUGCAGAAAAAGCACCGGCUAACUACGUGCCAGCAGCCGCGGUAAUACGUAGGGUGCAAGCGUUGUCCGGAAUUAUUGGGCGUAAAGAGCUCGUAGGCGGUUUGUCACGUCUGCUGUGAAAAUCCAAGGCUCAACCUUGGACUUGCAGUGGGUACGGGCAGGCUAGAGUGCGGUAGGGGAGAUGGGAAUUCCUGGUGUAGCGGUGGAAUGCGCAGAUAUCAGGAGGAACACCAAUGGCGAAGGCACAUCUCUGGGCCGUAACUGACGCUGAGGAGCGAAAGCGUGGGGAGCGAACAGGAUUAGAUACCCCUGUAGUC